UGCAUGGUUGUCGUCAGCUCGUGUCGUGAGAUGUUGGGUUAAGUCCCGCAACGAGCGCAACCCUUGUCUUUAGUUGCCAUCAUUAAGUUGGGCACUCUAGAGAGACUGCCAGGGAUAACCUGGAGGAAGGUGGGGAUGACGUCAAAUCAUCAUGCCCCUUAUGCUUAGGGCUACACACGUGCUACAAUGGGUAGUACAGAGGGUUGCCAAGCCGUAAGGUGGAGCUAAUCCCUUAAAGCUACUCUCAGUUCGGAUUGUAGGCUGAAACUCGCCUACAUGAAGCUGGAGUUACUAGUAAUCGCAGAUCAGAAUGCUGCGGUGAAUGCG
rnacentral:rRNA from 1 species